CUAAUAAUAAGACAAAUUACUGCCAAGACCAACAGAAAAAACAGCACAUUUACUCCAAAUGAAAAAGGGCCCACAAAGGGUUCUGGAUACUUGUGAAUUUUAAUGAUAUGUAUAUAGUUGUGGAAUUUACUGAAACAAAAACAGUAAACAUUAUAUCAGACUCAUGGUUUGAAGAUGGUAUGACUUGGUGGCCAAACUACAAAAGUGAUGAACGCAUCAAUAGAGCUGUCCAAAAACGGGAGGAACCAGGACCAGACUGGAAACAGUAUGAUGUUCGAGUCCUCUUAAGAGCUGGUGACUACAUGAAGGCAAAAGAAAAGCUGAGGGUCUCACUGAUCUGUAACACUUCAGAGUUACAAACUGAUGACGAGGAACAAGUGAUUAUGAGGAAAAGAAAAAGUAAGCCAAGGUAAGAGAAAAUCUGAGGGCCUCACUGAUCUGUAACACUUCAGAGUUACAAACAGAUGAUGUUUUUAAUUAGGAUAAGUAAUGAGCCAAUGUUUUUCAAUU